AUGGAGUAUGCUAAUUUACGACGCCAAGCAGCAUCCUUGAAAAGGAGCCUCUUUGAUCAGGGGUAUUUGGAUGAGCAAUUUUGCCAGGUUGAGGACUUGCAGGAUGAAGCAAGCCCCAAUUUUGCAGAAGAAGUGGUCUCCUUGUUCUUCAAGGACUCAGCGAGGCUAGUGACAAACAUUGAGCAAGCUAUGGAGAAGUAUCCAAAAGAUUUCAAUAGAUGGGAUGCACACAUGCAGCAGCUUAGAGGCAGCUGUUUUAGCAUCGGCGCUUCUAAGAUGAACAAUGAGUGCACAUCUUUCAGGAACAGCUGUGGAGAAGAAAAUGCUGAAGGCUGCAGGAGAACUUUCCAGAAAGUGAAGAGGGAGCAUGCUAUUCUGAGGCAGAAGCUGGAGUCCUACUUCCAGCUGCUGCGACAAGCUGGUCCUGCCAGGGCCGCGACCAGGCCUGGAAGCAUGUAA
rnacentral:rRNA from 1 species